rnacentral:rRNA from 1 species
AUUGAACGCUGGCGGCAUGCCUUACACAUGCAAGUCGAACGGCAGCACGGGUGCUUGCACCUGGUGGCGAGUGGCGAACGGGUGAGUAAUACAUCGGAACAUGUCCUGUAGUGGGGGAUAGCCCGGCGAAAGCCGGAUUAAUACCGCAUACGAUCUACGGAUGAAAGCGGGGGACCUUCGGGCCUCGCGCUAUAGGGUUGGCCGAUGGCUGAUUAGCUAGUUGGUGGGGUAAAGGCCUAUCAAGGCGACGAUCAGUAGCUGGUCUGAGAGGACGACCAGCCACACUGGGACUGAGACACGGCCCAGACUCCUACGGGAGGCAGCAGUGGGGAAUUUUGGACAAUGGGCGAAAGCCUGAUCCAGCAAUGCCGCGUGUGUGAAGAAGGCCUUCGGGUUGUAAAGCACUUUUGUCCGGAAAGAAAUCCUUGGCCCUAAUACGGUCGGGGGAUGACGGUACCGGAAGAAUAAGCACCGGCUAACUACGUG